CCUUACCAGGCUCAAAAGUCCCUUUAUCAAGCUCAAAAGUUCCUUUAAUAAUAGGGUAUCAGUAAGUGGGAGUGGGGGACAGAAAUGCUUUCAGGCAAACAUGCGCAGAGAUAAAGCAAGCAUAACGAACGAGGCACAUGAAUUCUCAGUGCCGUGAUGAAGAAUUUGUCGACAAGCUUAAGCUCAAGUUUUGAUCUUAAAAAGCCUUCAUGGGAAGUAUUUAUCAGAAGUAACAUACUGAUACAUGAAAAUCAACUGGUAACCAUGACAUUAAACUUUCGCCUUUUUAUAUAUGCAUUCAGGAUUGUGAAGGAUGAAGAACUUGUCCAGAAGCUCAUAGUCAAGUUCUGCUAUCCCAACAUGCCAGUUGCGUCCUCUGUAAAUGCUUGCACGUUUGGAUGUGUACAAGAAAAGCAUUCUUUCUAAACCACAGGUGGGGAAGACAUGACAAGAGAGGAAGACAUGACAGGAGAAUACAGAGGGUCCAGAUGGAGGUGGCAGGGGAAAUUGGCUGGUUGUGCAAUGAAGCUGAAUGAAGCAGACAAUGAUUUCAAGCAGAGGGAUAUCUGUAAUUUUCAAGGGAAAAUCUGCUGUUCAAUGGUGGUUUUGGUAAGAGAAUCCUUUUCAUCUA